rnacentral:rRNA from 1 species
AUGGAUUCCCCGCGGAUGGAGCAGGUGACUUGCUUGCUGUUAUUACUUAGAAUCCAACUAAUUCCCUCCUGCUCCUCGUUUCGUGUACUGCUGCCGCUUUCUUGCUGCCAGAGGCCGGGGUUCAGUGAGCCGGAGAGUAGCAGUACUACAAUAACAAAUCCAAUGCAAGGAGGAGGAGGAGGAGGAGGAGGAGGCCCCGCGCCUGACGACCAGCGGCCCAAGAGGCCGCCGCACCUCUCCAUCGACAUCCCGGCGGCGAGCAGCGUGCCCCUCACACCGACGGCGGCAGCAGAGGCAGAAGCCGUGGCAGCAACUCCGGGUUCCAACGCCAGCAGAACACCCGGUUCAGGUUCCGGUCCCGGUAAGCCGCCGGCGCCGCAGCGCACGCCGUCCUUCAUGCUGCGGCAGACGGUGCGGAGCCUCCUGCCGGGAGGGGGCAGCUUCAAGUCGUCGGUGAGAGACUACGAGGCCUCCCUCUCCAGGCUUUUCAGCGGGAGGAUCGCCAGGACGUCCUCGCUCCCGGCGGUGGACCACGCCCUGGCGGCCUCCGUGCACGCCGCCGACAAGACGCCGCCCAGCGCUCCUGCCGCCGCCGCCGACAACAAAACUGGCAUGCACCGGUCGCAGUCCCUCCCGAUGAACAUGAAGAAGUUCAGCUCCGCCAAGAGCAUCAAGAGGAUGAACUCGCUCGGCGGCGUGUACCGCGUCGUCCCCUCCACGCCGCGAGCCCCCGCCGCGACCAGCAAUGCCGUGCCGGACAUAGUCCCCACAGAACCAGGGGCCGGAGAGGGGGAGGACGACCACGGGGAGGACAUCGCGGAGGAGGAGGCGGUGUGCCGGAUCUGCAUGGUGGAGCUGUCCGAGGGGGGCGGCGCCAUGAAGCUGGAGUGCUCCUGCAGGGGUGAGCUCGCACUGGCACACACCGACUGCGCGCUCAAGUGGUUCGGCAUCAAGGGCACCAGGACCUGCGAGGUGUGCAAGGAGGAGGUCCAGAACCUCCCCGUCACCCUGCUACGCGUCCAGAGCACGCGCGCCGGCGACGCGAGCCGCGCCACCGGUCCGCGAUACGUCCGGUACAGGCUGUGGCAUGGGACACCUAUCCUUGUGGUCAUCAGCAUCCUCGCAUACUUCUGCUUCUUGGAGCAAUUGCUGGUUGCGCAUAACGGCUUCGCCGCCCUGGCGAUUUCUCUGCCAUUCUCAUGCAUCCUAGGCCUCUUCUCAUCACUCACCACAACAAGCAUGGUGGCGAGGAGAUACGUGUGGAUCUACGCGGCGAUCCAGUUCCUCUUCGUUGUGUUUUUCACGCAUUUGUUCUACAGAUAUCUGCAUUUGCAGGCUGUGAUAUCCAUCAUCCUGGCCACCUUUGCGGGCUUCGGCGUGGGGAUGAUCGGCAACUCCAUCAUCAUCGAGGUGCUGAGGUGGAGGACGAUGGCCCCGGCCCAGCCGCGACGUGCUCACAGGCCACGCGUGGCGCAGCAGCAGGCUCCGACAUCCGGUCAACCUUCAGGCGAGCCGUCAGCCACCGGUGAGGGACAGCGUAGCGCCACCGUCGACAUUGAGAAUCCAGCCGCCCCUCAAGCAUAA